rnacentral:rRNA from 1 species
AACGAACGCUGGCGGCAGGCUUAACACAUGCAAGUCGAACGCCCCGCAAGGGGAGUGGCAGACGGGUGAGUAACGCGUGGGAACAUACCCUUUCCUGCGGAAUAGCUCCGGGAAACUGGAAUUAAUACCGCAUACGCCCUACGGGGGAAAGAUUUAUCGGGGAAGGAUUGGCCCGCGUUGGAUUAGCUAGUUGGUGGGGUAAAGGCCUACCAAGGCGACGAUCCAUCGCUGGUCUGAGAGGAUGAUCAGCCACAUUGGGACUGAGACACGGCCCAAACUCCUACGGGAGGCAGCAGUGGGGAAUAUUGGACAAUGGGCUCAAGCCUGAUCCAGCCAUGCCGCGUGAGUGAUGAAGGCCUUAGGGUUGUAAAGCUCUUUCACCGAUGAAGAUAAUGACGGUAGUCGGAGAAGAAGCCCCGGCUAACUUCGUGCCAGCCGCCGCCGUAAGAC